GAUGAACGCUGGCGGCGUGCCUAAUACAUGCAAGUCGAGCGAACGGAUGAGAAGCUUGCUUCUCUGAUGUUAGCGGCGGACGGGUGAGUAACACGUGGAUAACCUACCUAUAAGACUGGGAUAACUUCGGGAAACCGGAGCUAAUACCGGAUAAUAUUUUGAACCGCAUGGUUCAAAAGUGAAAGACGGUCUUGCUGUCACUUAUAGAUGGAUCCGCGCUGCAUUAGCUAGUUGGUAAGGUAACGGCUUACCAAGGCAACGAUGCAUAGCCGACCUGAGAGGGUGAUCGGCCACACUGGAACUGAGACACGGUCCAGACUCCUACGGGAGGCAGCAGUAGGGAAUCUUCCGCAAUGGGCGAAAGCCUGACGUAGCAACGCCGCGUGAGUGAUGAAGGUCUUCGGAUCGUAAAACUCUGUUAUUAGGGAAGAACAUAUGUGUAAGUAACUGUGCACAUCUUGACGGUACCUAAUCAGAAAGCCACGGCUAACUACGUG
rnacentral:rRNA from 1 species